rnacentral:lncRNA from 1 species
AUGUUUUUCCCUGAGGAGAGUUUCAUCGUACAACACUUGGUAUUGUUUUCAUUUUAUUGUGCCCCUGAGAAGUCCUUCAUCUUCUAACAGUUGGCGUUUCUUUUCUCGUUCCAGGCUCGGAGGAUUGCUUCGGCCACUUCUUGGGGUUCUCCUCACCAUGAUUUCUGCGAGGACAGCUUCAUCGUAGAACCACUGGUAUUGUUUUCAUUUUUUUGUGCCCCUGAGAAGUGUUUCAUCUUCCAACAUUUAUUGUUUCUUUUCUCGUUGCAGGCCCUGAGGAUUGCUUCAGCGUGCAGCUUCUGGUGUUUUCUUCGCUGCGACGCUGAGGAUUCUACAUUGUCGAACCUUUGG